rnacentral:rRNA from 1 species
CGCGGCCUAUCAGCUUGUUGGUGAGGUAACGGCUCACCAAGGCAAUGACGGGUAGCUGGUCUGAGAGGACGAUCAGCCACACUGGAACUGAGAUACGGUCCAGACUCCUACGGGAGGCAGCAGGGGGGAAUCUUGCGCAAUGGGCGAAAGCCUGACGCAGCGACGCCGCGUGGGGGAUGAAUGCCUUAGGGUUGUAAACCCCUUUCACGAGGGAAGAAACUGACGGUACCUCGAGAAGAAGCCCCGGCCAACUACGUGCCAGCAGCCGCGGUAAUACGUAGGGGGCGAGCGUUGUCCGGAUUUAUUGGGCGUAAAGGGCUCGUAGGCGGCUUGGCAAGUCGGCCGUGAAAACCCAGGGCUCAACUCUGGGACGCCGGUCGAUACUGCCAUGGCUAGGGUCCGGUAGAGGGGAAUGGAAUUCCCGGUGUAGCGGUGAAAUGCGCAGAUAUCGGGAGGAGCACCAGUAGCGAAGGCGGUUCCCUGGGCCGGCACCGACGCUGAGGAGCGAAAGCGUGGGGAGCAAACAGGAUUAGAUACCCUGGUAGUCCACGCCGUAAACGUUGGGUACUAGGCGUGGCGUCUUAUCAACGGAUGCCGUGCUCGAAGCUAACGCGUUAAGUACCCCGCCUGGGGAGUACGG